rnacentral:rRNA from 1 species
GAUGAACGCUGGCGGCGUGCCUAAUACAUGCAAGUCGAACGGACAGGUCAUGCUCUUGCGGCGUGCUCGUGAGCCGAACGGGUGAGUAACACGCGUGUAACCUGCACCUGUAUUAGGGAUAUCUUCACGAAAAUGCGGCUCAUAUCGGAUAGGAGAUCUUGCUGCACGGUGGGCGAUGGAAAGUUUCGGCGGUUGGGGAUAGGAUGGCGGGUUAUCCGCUUGAUGGUCGGGUAGUGGCAUACCAAGCCUGUGACGGAUAGCCGGCCUGAGAGGGUGACCGGGCACAAUGGGACUGAGGUACGGCCCAGACGGCUACGGGAGGCAGCAGGGGGGAAUAUGACGCAAUGGGGGGGAGCCUGAUGCAGCAACGCCGGGUGCGGGAUGACGGCCUUCGGGUGGUAAACCGCUGUCGCCGGUGACGAAGCGUGAGUGACGGUAAUGGGUAAAGAAGCACCGGCUAACUACGUG